rnacentral:rRNA from 1 species
AUUGAACGCUGGCGGCAUGCUUUACACAUGCAAGUCGAACGGUAACAGGCCGCAAGGUGCUGACGAGUGGCGCACGGGUGAGUAAUGCAUCGGAACGUGCCCAGUCGUGGGGGAUAACUACUCGAAAGAGUAGCUAAUACCGCAUACGAUCUAUGGAUGAAAGCGGGGGACCGUAAGGCCUCGCGCGAUUGGAGCGGCCGAUGUCAGAUUAGGUAGUUGGUGGGGUAAAGGCUCACCAAGCCAACGAUCUGUAGCUGGUCUGAGAGGACGACCAGCCACACUGGGACUGAGACACGGCCCAGACUCCUACGGGAGGCAGCAGUGGGGAAUUUUGGACAAUGGGCGCAAGCCUGAUCGAGCAAUGCCGCGUGCAGGAAGAAGGCCUUCGGGUUGUAAACUGCUUUUGUACGGAACGAAACGGCUCUGGUUAAUACCCGGGGCUAAUGACGGUACCGUAAGAAUAAGCACCGGCUAACUACGUG